GACGAACGCUGGCGGCGUGCUUAACACAUGCAAGUCGAACGGAAAGGCCCUGCUGUUUUGGGGUGCUCGAGUGGCGAACGGGUGAGUAACACGUGAGUAACCUGCCCUUGACUUUGGGAUAACUUCAGGAAACUGGGGCUAAUACCUGAUAGGAGCUCCUGCUUCAUGGUGGGGGUUGGAAAGUUUCGGCGGUUGGGGAUGGACUGGGGGCUUAUCAGCUGGUUAGUGGGUUAGUGGCUUACCAAGGCUUUGGCGGGUCGCCGGCGUGUGAAGGUGAACGGGGACAUUGGGACUGAGAGACGGAGCAGAAGGGUACGGGAGGCAGCAGUGGGAAACAUUGCAGAACGGGCGGGAGCGUGAUGAAGAAAAGCCGCGUGCGGGAUGACGGGUUUCGGGUUGUGAACCGAUUUGGCCUGUGACGAAGCGUGAGUGACGGUAAUGGGUAAAGAAGCACCGGCUAACUACGUG
rnacentral:rRNA from 1 species